GUGUUACGCAGCACGUUUGAGCUUUCGCAAGAACCGAUGAGGUUCAUUCUUGUGUUAUGCAGCACGUUUGAGCUUCUGCAAGAACCAAUGAGGUUCGUUCUCGUGUUACGCAGCACGUUUGAGCUUCCGUAAGAACCAAUGAGGUUCGUUCUCAUGUUACGCAGCACGUUUGAGCUUCCGUAAGAACCGAUGAGGUUUAUUCUUGUGUUACGCAGCACGUUUGAGCUUCCGCAAGAACCGAUGAGGUUUGUUCUCACACGUCAUGCAGGUUCGUUUGAGCUUCUGUUUAUGUUCGCUGAUCAAUGUUUAUGUGUGAAUAAAAGCCUAAAUUAAAUCUUUCUAUCAUAUAAAGCAUUCGAGUCUCUUUAGAAAAUUUUGACUAAACUGUUCAUUUCAUAUAGUUUUACGACCUCUUUAUGAACUUUUUGAAGGGACAGAAAGCUCUCAGAUUUCAUCAAAAAGAUCUUUAUUUGUGUUCCAAAGAUGAAUGAAAGUCUUACAGGUUUGGAACGACAUGAGGGUGAGUAAAUAAUGACAGAAUUUUCAUUUUUUAGGUGAACUAUCCUUUUAAGGUAACAAUUGCACUUUUUACAGCGUGCAACUGUGCUAUUCUGAACAUCCUCAUGGUUUUUAUUUCGUUUUAGGUUUAUUUUUGACGUUUGCGAUCUUUGACUGCAUUUGAUGUACACUACACAAGUCAUUUUUGACACAUGAUGUCUAUAUUUGUUAGGCUGUCAUGAUGGCGACAUAAUACUAAAUGCACUUGUAAUGUCUGUGCCAGGGUAUUUAGAUGUCAAUCACCCCUGUAUGACACCACCAGCUCAUAAAUAUGCAGGCAAGUUAUUUAACGCCCUUCAAGACUGCUAAUGUCUUUACAGGCUUCUAUUCCAUGGAUUCCGGUUAUAGAGAUGCUUUAUUCCCAGAGGAGCUCUGAGCUUCUCCCACUGAUGCUUAUGAUGCUCUAAAUUAGGACAAAUCUCGUUAAUACUUCUUUACCAAAUUCAGCCCACCCAUAUUAGAACCAUCCUCCCCUUGGGUGCGACUCCAACCCACACAGAGGCACAUAAUUUGUUGUAUAGCUGAAAAAGACACACUCUUCUUAAAAACCCUAAAAUAGAGGUUCUGAAUCAGGCGCGGCACUUAGAAGAGCGUCAUAUUCAGGCGAGACGGUGUGAAUGAAAGACGUUAGUGAGGGAAAGGGGUAGAAGAAGUAAUAUCGAGUUCAGACACUAGUCCAUCCAUUCUCAGGACCAGAAGCGAGGUAAUUAGGACUGCUGGGAGGGACAGAGCGCUACUCUCCUUCUCAGCAGGUCUUUUUUUUUUCCUGAAAUGAUUUAUCUGGUAGGAGAAAAUGCUGGAAGUGUUAGUCGGUGGAAAUACGGAGAGUUUGAUUCUCUGGACCUGAGCCUCAUGCAUAAAACUUCACUUUGUUUUCCAUGCAUAUCAAAAGUUUGUGCAUGCAGAAACAGCAGAAUAUAUGCAUAUGGAUGAAAUGUAUUGAUAUCAGUAUUCAGUGGUUUGCAGUUUUUGCUACUUUCUGGGGUCUUGUUUUAAAACACUGAUAAUUCAUUAUGCAACUGUGAAAGAAACUGAAAUAACUGGAUUCUCUGUGGCAUAUUUGCACAUUUAUAUAUACAGUGCUUCAGAACCCAAUUUCUCAUUAUGAAAUUAAGUAACUAGCUGAUUAAUUAAUAGAAAAUAAAGUACUGUUUAUUUGCAUAUGACAGACAAAACUAUUUGCAUACCACAAUUAAGAAAAAUAAACUGCACAUUCUAUAAAAAUCUCCUUAAAUUCAAACUGGUCUCACUGAAACAAAAAGCAGCACAAGUUAGGGCUGUACAAUUAAUCAAAUACAUAAUCAUGAUUACAGCUUUUGCUGAUUAGAUCUACUUCAGUGUUUUUUGCAGUAUUGUAACCAAUCACAGAUGUGCUUUUUGCACUCAUGCAUACAGUGGGGAAUUACAGGUGUUUAAAUCAGUCUAAAAGUCUAUCAGUAAUCACAACAGGUACUAAUCAACGAGUUUUAAGCAGUCUGAUGGCUGUUUUAUGUUUUCUAUUCAUGAGUGCUAAAGAAACAUCACAUGAGGCUCAAGCUGAAGCUUUAAAAUGAAAGCAGAAAACAGUGGUAAUUUGGAAUUUUUGGUUGAAAAAAAAAAUGUUGCUAAAUAUAAAAAGUGCAACUACCAACCUUCUGCCAUGUUCAGCAGUAUCAUCCAUCUAUCCAUCCAUCCAUCUAUCUCUCUGUUUAUCUAUCUCUCUAUCUAUCUAUCUAUCUAUCUAUCUAUCUAUCUAUCUAUCUAUCCCUUCGUUUCUGUCAUUCUCUAGCUCUGUCUGGUUAUGUGAUUGCGGUUCUGAGUGCUACCCAAGUCACCUUUCACUUAAAAAUUGAGGAAAAAUUCAUUCCCAUGGUGAAAUGAAAUUGCUUUCUGUGCAUGAAAGCAAACUCAUGCAGUUUAUUUCAUUAGUGGCAACUGUAGAAUUGCCUGAAUAUUACAGAUGAAUUUAGUGAAAGGUGCUUUUUGAAGUAUUCCUAACCAAGAAAAUCCUGAAGGAAUGUGUACAGGACAGUUGGAAUUUUUAUCAGAAUUUGGAACCAAUCAAAAUAGCAAUAUAUUCUAUUUACACUGAGUGACAAUAGCAGCAUUUUCUUAGCAGUAUGCUAUUUACUCUAAGUGAAAAUAGCGAUAUAUUCUAGUAUUUACGCUAUAAAAGUAGCAGUUCUUUGCAAUAAGUGCAAAUAGUUGUUAGAUGCUGUACUUAUAAAUAGUGGCAGAUACUAUUUGCACCUCAGUGUUGUUGUACAAUAACAGGAUGCAAUAAUAACAGAGUGUAAAUUAUUAUAUUUAUUAAAAUUAUUAAAUGGAUGUCGCCUUAUUGGCACAAUAAAGCCCUCCCUACACCUUCCCCUAACUCUACCCGAUAAAAAAUUUAUUAUUAAACACUCGUUAGGCACUUUAUUUCCACUUUUCAAAUAUUUUCUUAAUUUUUAUUGAAAAUAAAUGCCUUUCCGAUCUGAUAUGUGAUGGGAAAAGGGAGAAGAGCGAGUUCGGCAAAAGGCAGAUUCGGACUUGGGUCGAUCACAUCAAAAGUUACUUCCCCACGCCAUACUCUCUACUGCAGGGGUCAGCAAUUAAGUUUGGCAUCGGGCCAAAAUAAAUUUGCCACUAGAUGGCGGGCCAGAACAUAGUCAAAGGAUAAUUUAAGAAAUUAAUUGAAAAAUGCAACUAGAAUUGCCUGUGACAGACUGUAACAGUGUCUUUUGUAACUGGUAUUGAGCUCUGUGUUAAAUCCUGUAGUAGCAGUCAUUAACAAAAAGCCACAUUUGUAUGGCGCUGUCCGGGUUUUACACUGGAUAAAUUAAUAAAGCAGUAGUGACACAUAACCUGGCAAGUAUCUUCAUUCACCAACUUGCAACACAGACCGCCUUGCUAAAACACACAUGUCGGAGAUGCAGAAUGGAUAAAAAUGACUUGAAUAAGCCCAUUAAUGGCAUGUUUGAGUCAUGCUCUUAACGAACUGUUUUAUUUCCUCUUUCCAUAUUGUGAAUAAUAAAUGUGUAACAUUUUAAUUUGCUUGUUACACAAUGGAUCCUAACUUUUUGUAUUAAUCAUUGACGUAGCCUACUUUUACACUCAGAAUUAUUCCUUGGCAUCCUCACGCACUAAACUGCAUUUUUUCAAAUUGUUUGCAUGCUGGAGUUACGCUAUUAAGUCGUGUGCAGAGUGAUGUUAACAUUUAAGCUAGCUGGUGAGUGGAAAUGGCACUAUCAAACACUCUAAAAGAGGAAAGUUGUCCGCGAAAAUAGGGCAUACAAAGAAGAAUGGAAAGACAACUAUGCGUUCAUCCUACCUGUUUUGUGAGUGCAAAGCCGGUGUGAUUUAUCUGCAACAAAGUUUUCGCUGUUUUCAAAUAAUAUAACACCGACACCGGACGUGAGCGAUGCGACGCGACGCUACAAAAGAUAAUAGAACCCAUUAUUAUGAUAUUGUCUACAAUGGAUGCGGUGCAGUGCGGUACAACACAUUGCCGACGGCAAACGGAUUCCCCGUUCUAUUUCUGACAUAGUCCAAGUGCUUUGCAACGGUCGGUUUGUCGCUUUCAGUGUAGACAGCUUUUAGCUGUUGCGGCGCGUCUGGUGUAUACACGGUGAUAAUAUUAGACAGCACCAUGAGACUAAAAUCUAUUUCAGAACAAGCCGCUAUCAAAAUAAUUUGGCUGCGGGCGCGGGCCAGAUAUUAUUGCUGGCGGGUCGCCUAUUGCCGACCACUGCUCUACGGCCUUCACCACUACAGACGUUGAGUGGUGUGCAGGUUUUUUAAUCUUGUGUGGCCAAAACAGACAUUGGUGGGCGGAGUUAGUGUAAAUAGCCUUUGCCAACAAGGCAGGCUGUUUACACUUAGUGUAAAUAGACACUCCAAUAAGAGCAUGUUAAGAACUGGGGGAAAAAUAUUAUUUUAAAUAUUGUGUAUCUUUAUCAUAACUCUGCCUGUAUUGUAUUGGAAUAAUGUUUUGCUACAUUCAAUUCCUUCCAUGCCCUACAGGAACAUUUUAUCCUAUUCAGAAGGAUAAAAGAUCAGCUCGUAAACAUACUUUAUCAUUAGAAAAAAAAUGAAAUAACUCAUUAAACAUGAAAGUAUUAUGCAAUUAGUUAAGAUAAAGGUUCUUUAAAACUGAGUCAAGAAUAGAACCUAUUGAGCCUUUUUUCUAAGUGUGGAUGACCAAAAUCAUCUAAGAAGGCCUUCAGAAAAGAACAAAAGAAUCGCACAUUGUCACAAUACUCUCAAAUUAUAUUUUAAUAGUAGACAAACAACAUUUCAACCUUUUUGGUCUUUGUCAGGUUAUUAAAAAACAUUACUUGAAAACUUGAAAAUCUUUAAAUACAUACACCUGAGUUGGUGUGGACAACAAACAAUACAGUAAUUAACUGAUUAAGACACAUUGGGCUCAACAAUGGGAACACACUGUAUUUCAAAAUAAGAAUGCAUUUUAAUUGCUGUCUUGUUUGAUUUCCAUGCCUACUCAGGUGUAUGUAUUUAAAUACUUUCAAGUUUAAUGUUUUUGAACCGAAAGGUUCGAAACUUCAUUUUUCUUCUAGUUCGACAGCAUCGUGACAAUGUGCUGUUCUUUUCUUCUACAAGAAAAUUCCUAUUAGGAUUCUUAAGGAUUGUUUUUCAAUUAUAAUUGAUUCCAGUAUGAAUCUUUUAGCAUUUUUUGACUAGUGAUUAUCUUCAGUUCAGUAGUUUGUCACUUGAGCUGUUAAACCGCCAACACCAGUGACAAAAGUGCACAAACAUUCUCGAGUCACAUUUGUUUCUUAUAAAUCCUGACGUGUGUGCGAAGACUGUUUUGUGUGAAAACAACAUCUACGUGAGGCCUUUGGUCUUUAAGCCGAUGCAGAGAGACUGACUGCAAGGUAAGAGGUUGGAAGAGGGAUUUUUUGAAGAGGUUUAUAAGUGCUAUUGUUACGGAAAGCACAUAGUGUUCCCUGUCUGUCUGACAUCGGCGUUCUCUGGGGGAUUUCGUAGGCGAAGUGUGUGAGUGCCUUGACAUGGGAACUAAGGUACCACUCGAUGAAGGUAAUUCUCUCUCUCUCUCUCUGCAAUAAAUUGAGUGCAUAUAAAUAUAUAUAAGAGGAACAAUGAUCUCAUUAGUCACAUUUAGCAUGAAGAGUUAUGGCCGUGUUGUUCAGUGGCACUCCAUCCGUACUCUGGGAAAGCUGCUUCAUGUCCACAUCAGCGUUUGCCAGCUAUCUGGGCCAGUGCAUCAUCAGCAACAAUCCCAGCUGUCAGCUCUGUGCUGCUGACAAAAUGUCAACGCCAAACAUUCAUAUGCAUUUAUAUGCGCCUUUAUUUUUCCGCAGGCUAUAGCUAUUUUGAUGUCUUCUGGCUUUUUUCCCCUGCUUUUCUAAAGGAAAAGACAAUUCUGUGAUCAUUUACUCACCCUUGUGUUGUUUCUUUGUGACACCAAAUGAGAUAUUUUAAAGAAUCUCAAAGCUCUACUUUUACAUAUAAUGAAAGCAAACUUCUGAAACAUUUUUCAGAGAUCAUCAAUGUUUUAUAUACUAUACUUACAUUCACAUUCACAUCAUUAACCUUUACAUAAUUUCACCAAUAUUCCACCAAAAUAGAAGCUGGUGGAUUUGAGAUGUUAAAAGCUUGAGUGUUUGAAUGUUUGAAAGUGAACAGUUGAAGUCUUCAGAUGCAAAAGCCACUAAACGCCACCUUUGUCAAAAAUGAGAUACUAUUAUUGAGCGAAUGCUUUCCGCACAUAGUAUACGUUCAUCAAAUACUUUCGCUUCAAACUUGCUAAAUCCCAGCCUCAGCCCAUUCAGAAAUACCAGGGUCGUUAACAGAAACCGCUAAACGCCACUUCCCUUUGUCAGCAAAAGCCUUUAAGUUCACAGAAGCAAAUCGAAUCAUAUGAUUUCAAGAUGAAUGACAGCAUGCGUAUGAGCCGGCUUUCAAUCGUCAGGAUGCAAGUUUUUAUCCUGUUUAAAGAGAUUUUUAACUGAUGAGGAGUAUGAUGAAAUGGAUGAACCUGUGGUAGUUUCAGUCACUGGCAAAAAGAAGCAUCAUCAACCUCAUAAUUCUGCCCAUUCUAAGGCUAAAGAAAAAAUGCUACAGUGGCAAUGACAGGAUUUUGCGAGUAGCAUGUAAACACAACAGUGUUUUGUGUGCUGCUGUAACUCUGACAGAAACGGACAUAACUUUAUCUUAAGUGAUUUUGCAACUGUUUACUAUAUGUCUUGUCCGAAGAGGUGGACUUUUUUUCAAAGCUACAUAUGAGAGUUUGUUUUUUGCAAAGAAAAUGCGGUGCGUUGUUUUAUUAUUUUAUAAUGUUUCCUGGGGUGCACUUAUGAUGUUAGUAUGCGUUUUACAUCAAAAAUUGUCAUAAUUUAGCAAUAAAAGGCAUUUUUCCUACCCUGAUUUUAGCCCUCUGAUUUGAACGCUCUGU